rnacentral:rRNA from 1 species
UAGAUUGCUGGCGACCGGCGCACGGGUGAGUAACACGUAUCCAACCUGCCGAUAACUCGGGGAUAGCCUUUCGAAAGAAAGAUUAAUAUCCGAUAGUAUAUUAAAACCGCAUGGUUUUACUAUUAAAGAAUUUCGGUUAUCGAUGGGGAUGCGUUCCAUUAGGCAGUUGGUGAGGUAACGGCUCACCAAACCUUCGAUGGAUAGGGGUUCUGAGAGGAAGGUCCCCCACAUUGGAACUGAGACACGGUCCAA